GAUGAACGCUGGCGGCGUGCCUAAUACAUGCAAGUCGAGCGAACAGACGAGGAGCUUGCUCCUUUGACGUUAGCGGCGGACGGGUGAGUAACACGUGGGUAACCUACCUAUAAGACUGGGAUAACUUCGGGAAACCGGAGCUAAUACCGGAUAAUAUUUCGAACCGCAUGGUUCGAUAGUGAAAGAUGGCUUUGCUAUCACUUAUAGAUGGACCUGCGCCGUAUUAGCUAGUUGGUAAGGUAACGGCUUACCAAGGCAACGAUACGUAGCCGACCUGAGAGGGGGAUCGGCCACACGGGAACUGAGACACGGUCCAGACUCCUACGGGAGGCAGCAGUAGGGAAUGUUCCGCAAUGGGCGAAAGCCUGACGGAGCAACGCCGCGUGAGUGAUGAAGGUCUUCGGAGCGUAAAACUCUGUUAUUAGGGAAGAACAAACGUGUAAGUAACUGUGCACGGCUUGACGGUACCUAAUCAGAAAGCCACGGCUAACUACGUG
rnacentral:rRNA from 1 species